rnacentral:rRNA from 1 species
CCAGACUCCUACGGGAGGCAGCAGUGAGGAAUAUUGGUCAAUGGCCGCAAGUCUGAACCAGCCAAGUAGCGUGAAGGAUGACUGCCCUAUGGGUUGUAAACUUCUUUUAUGCGGGGAUAAAGUGGGCCACGUGUGGCUUUUUGCAGGUACCGCAUGAAUAAGGACCGGCUAAUUCCGUGCCAGCAGCCGCGGUAAUACGGAAGGUCCGGGCGUUAUCCGGAUUUAUUGGGUUUAAAGGGAGCGUAGGCCGGUCUUUAAGCGUGGCGUGAAAUUUUGUGGCUCAACCGUGGGAGUGCGGCGCGAACUGGAGGCCUUGAGUGCGCGGAAGGCAGGCGGAAUUCGUGGUGUAGCGGUGAAAUGCUUAGAUAUCACGAAGAACCCCGAUUGCGAAGGCAGCCUGCCGCAGCGUUACUGACGCUGAAGCUCGAAAGCGCGGGUAUCGAACAGGAUUAGAUACCCCUGUA